rnacentral:rRNA from 1 species
UACAGAGGAGCCAAGCGUUGUCCGGAUUGACUGGGCGUAAAGCGCACGCAGGCGGUUGCGCGCGUGGGGUGUGAAAUCUGGCCGCUUAACGGCCAGGCGCCAUCCCAUACGGCGCGACUGGAGUGAUGCAGAGGUCGAUGGAAUUGCCGGUGUAGUGGUGAAAUGCGUAGAGAUCGGCAGGAACACCCAGGGGGAAACCAGUCGACUGGGCAUCUACUGACGCUGAGGUGCGAGAGCGUGGGGAGCGAACCGGAUUGAGAA